UUCUUCCGAUUACAGUGAGUUCAACAAAAGACUAAUUACUCUUCCUAUCAGGCUUGAUUCAUUGGUGGCACAAUCAUGACUGCAGACCUUACACGUAUUUUGAGAGAAGUAGAGUUAUCUUUACACUAAACAAGAAGAAAUAUUAAAUAGUAUAAAGGCAAAGGAGAUAAGAUACAGGCUUCCAGUGGCUAACUAAGAUGCAUCUUCCGGCUAGAUUCCUCUUCCAUCGCUUUUGUCAUCGCUAAAUUUACGUCCAUGAUAACUUUGAGAUCCUCCAGUUUGUUUGUUAAAGAACCAUUGGCGACUUGAAAUUGUUUCAGUUGACGUGUGGAGUUAGCAAUCAGUGAGAUGAAGGUUGUGAAGAUAUCAAUAUUUCCCUCAAGAAGCUCUUCCGCCUGAAACACAGACAGUCUAGAAAGAAAUCGAUGAUCAUCUGAGUGGAUGCUUCAUGCAAGUCAGCUAAUACACACUGUGCAAGGUGCGUCACUUUGUAGGCAGACUGAGAGUGAAGACUGUUCUUGCGCAUGGUUGAGGAGAGCUGCUGCUGGUAAGCCGUAGUGUUUAGCGGUGGAAGACCCUUGAGUCUCCGAUCCUGAUAUGGAAGUUGAAAUUGUCAAGACAUGGAAACCAUUUUUACAAAAGAGCUGGACUAACGGGAUUAUCAAGUAAGGUUUCAGUCCUAUUGAGAACUUGGUAUAAGGAACCAGUAGUGUGAGAUGGCCUAAAACACAGGAAUCAUUAUACAAGUGUUGAUUACUGGCAACUUUGAUUGAGGCUGGCUUAAAUGGUACUCAACGCAAUAACGUUCCUGAGGUGGAAAUACCCUGGGAGGUAACAGACUACCGUUUUCAACCCCAAGGAGUAUAUGUGAAAACUUUAACAUCUCCCGACCGAGAGAGGGGAGACCUGUCCGUCCACGAUGUGAUGCUUGGUAAUUAAUUGCAUUCUUUUAAGUUUGAUUUAGCCAUUAUAAUUUGUUCAAAUCGAAUAGUGCAAUCAUUCGAGCUCAUAUUGGAUUCACACGAUGAGAAAAUUAAGACAAAACUCUACAACUUCGUUGCUUACCGAGACAUUAGUGCAACUUGAGGUAGUUAAGUUCAAGUCUGCUUUUACUUCACGCGACAAAGGGGCACAGGCUGAGUCACAUGAAUCCAUGAUUUUGGACUGAAAAUUCUGAAACGGCAAACGUUGAGGCGUCAUGGUUUUGAACGAGUUAAAUAUAGUGCAGAAAAAUAAAUACUUCUAGUUUCUGUCAUUCAGUCAGUAAGAAUCAUUUUUAAUAACCCAGAAGAGGCAUGAUGAUUUCUUUUAAACUAUGUGCAGUUUCAUUUUUACCACCAAAACUUGCAAACUUGAAAACUUACAGAGUAAGAGUAUCGUAUAUCUUACCGAGUACGUCAAUGUUCUGGAUGUCAGACUGGCCAAAAAUUGUGACGAUACAACCAGAAAGUCGAUGGUCCUUCGCCCAUGACGGUGGAGUGCGGAGGAUCUGGAACAUCGUCUCGACCGAAGACAAUUGGCGCGUACAGAAGUAUUGACCAGCAUGACCAAAAGCAACACAAGACAAGAAAAAGAAAAGAGUUUUAUUGGAUGACCUGAAAAUAUUUCAAAAAUAUUUUUUUAAAUACAAACCAAAUUAAUUUCGCUAAUUAAAAGUUUUAUCUACAAAAUACCAAGCUCAGUAAGGAUUUCUGGUUUCUAAGUAUCUGCUUAAACACAUAUCAAUUUGAGCUCAUCAUACCUUUUGAUGGAGCACAAAUUAAACAUUUCAUCAAAAUAAACAGACAACCAAACGAAUAAUAAAUUUAUAAUUAUCAUGAUAAUUUAAUCAGGACUUUUUUGCGUACCUGCCAUGAGCCUUCUACUUCUCUAUUUCUCAGUUUGUAAAUUUUCGUUAACUCAGCUUUGACAAUUGUAUAUUUGAGGUAAAUAGUCCAAGUUUCCAUCCUUAUAUACUCAGUUCAAUCUUCCGGGGUAAGGUAGAUUCAGGACUUUUUAUUCUUGAACAACAGGGAGUAGAAGACAUAAUACGAAAAAGAGUUUUGGCCAAUACCUAUCUUAUUUUAGAUUUUUAUUCUUCCCCCACCAAGCAGGAGACAGCAACUUUUAGGUAAUAUAUUCAAGAGGAAUAUAUCGAAGGAAUAUUUCUUUUAUUUUCGGAAGGAUUGCCUUUGUCGUUCUUACCUCACUGGCCUAAAAAUACUAGAAAUCUCCAAUGUAGCUUAAUCUUACCAUAAUGAAAUAUCUCCUACUGUUCUGAGCCACUUCCACUAAAGGGGAUUCAAGCGGCGUGGUUCGGGUUAUGUUAAUCUCAGCGAUACAACAAUAAGUGUUGCUUGUGUGACUCUCUGCUUUUCAAAAUCCUGGUUUACAGGACUCUGACUGUGGAACUAGAUUGAGUUUUUAAGUUCUAACCAAGAGGAGUCAAAUGAGAUUGUUUACAUCAAUUGUUGAAUAAUUUCACUUUCCAUGUUCUUAGUCACAUCUAAAUUUACUUUCUUGGCAUUAUUCAAGGUAUAUAAAAUACUUCUGUGCUAAAAUUUAACACAGUUUCAAGAUGUUUCAUCCUUCAAAUUUCCCUACAGCACUUAUGUUUUUAUCUGUUUGCAUAAGUCGCCUUAGAAAACCAACAAUUUUGCAUAAGCACUUACGAGAUUCUUUGAGAACCACUGAUUGACGAAGUCGAUGACCAUACGUGCUAUUCGCUAGUUACACGAUCGACACAUUAGCUAGCUAUAAGGAGACUAUAGUAAUAGACUGCAGUAGACCAGCUGCCGUAGACCAGUUAAAAAUAUAGUCUAUUUUAACUCCUGCGAUCUAUUGAAGGAAAAUUUCGUGCUUGGGAAAUAAAAUCCAAAUCAGGUUAAGGGAAUUAAAUGUAUGACAAGCAAAUAGAUCGCCGCUGGAUCGGUUCAGUCAAAGCAUGGAUGGCAGCAGUGGAUGGUACAACUGAGGGAUUCGAUAUUGAAAGAUUAAUUCCUUCCUUUGAUCUGAUUUCAGGGAUAAAUGAGAUGAUUAGUCCGCCUUUAUGCUUGUAUCCAUUAUUUGGAGUAAACAGGAGACUGUCAUAAACAAUAGAAAAGACUUCUGUUGUAAGAAAAUUC